UACGGGGGGAGCAAGCGUUGUCCGGAAUCACUGGGCGUAAAGGGCGCGUAGGUGGCGCGGGUAGUCAUCGGUGAAAGCUCAGGGCUCAACCCUGAGUCGGCCGGUGAUACUCCCGUGCUUGAGUGUGGUAGAGGCCAAUGGAAUUCCGGGUGUAGCGGUGGAAUGCGUAGAGAUCCGGAAGAACACCGGUGGCGAAGGCGGUUGGCUGGGCCACAACUGACACUGAUGCGCGACAGCGUGGGGAGCAAACAGG
rnacentral:rRNA from 1 species